rnacentral:rRNA from 1 species
AGCGAACGCUGGCGGCAGGCUUAACACAUGCAAGUCGAACGGGCUUCUUCGGAAGUCAGUGGCAGACGGGUGAGUAACACGUGGGAACGUGCCCUUCGGUUCGGAAUAACUCAGGGAAACUUGAGCUAAUACCGGAUACGCCCUUUUGGGGAAAGGUUUACUGCCGAAGGAUCGGCCCGCGUCUGAUUAGCUUGUUGGUGGGGUAACGGCCUACCAAGGCGACGAUCAGUAGCUGGUCUGAGAGGAUGAUCAGCCACACUGGGACUGAGACACGGCCCAGACUCCUACGGGAAGCAGCAGUGGGGAAUAGUGGACAAUGGGCGCAAGCCUGAUCCAGCCAGGCCGCGUGAAUGAUGAAGGCCUUAGGGUUGUAAAGCUCUUUUGUCCGGGACGAUAAUGACGGUACCGGAAGAAUAAGCCCCGGCUAACUUCGUG